rnacentral:rRNA from 1 species
AUUGAACGCUGGCGGCAGGCCUAACACAUGCAAGUCGAGCGGAUGAAGGGAGCUUGCUCCUGGAUUCAGCGGCGGACGGGUGAGUAAUGCCUAGGAAUCUGCCUGGUAGCGGGGGAUAACGUCCGGAAACGGGCGCUAAUACCGCAUACGUCCUGAGGGCGAACGUGGGGGAUCUUCGGACCUCACGCUAUCAGAUGAGCCUAGGUCGGAUUAGCUAGUUGGUGGGGUAAAGGCCUACCAAGGCGACGAUCCGUAACUGGUCUGAGAGGAUGAUCAGUCACACUGGAACUGAGACACGGUCCAGACUCCUACGGGAGGCAGCAGUGGGGAAUAUUGGACAAUGGGCGAAAGCCUGAUCCAGCCAUGCCGCGUGUGUGAAGAAGGUCUUCGGAUUGUAAAGCACUUUAAGUUGGGAGGAAGGGCAGUAAGUUAAUACCUUGCUGUUUUGACGUUACCAACAGAAUAAGCACCGGCUAACUUCGUG